rnacentral:rRNA from 1 species
UACAGAGGCCUCGAGCGUUAGGCGGAAUCACUGGGCUUAAAGGGUGCGUAGGCGGCCUGACAAGUCUGAUGUGAAAUCCCUGGGCUCAACCCAGGGCCUGCAUCGGAAACUGUCGGGCUUGAGUAUGGGAGAGGUGAGUGGAAUUUCCGGUGUAGCGGUGAAAUGCGUAGAUAUCGGAAGGAACACCUGUGGCGAAAGCGGCUCACUGGACCAUUACUGACGCUGAUGCACGAAAGCUAGGGGAGCAAACAGG